rnacentral:rRNA from 1 species
UACAGAGACUGCAAGCGUUAUUCGGAUUCACUGGGCGUAAAGGGUGCGCAGGCGGCCGAGUGUGUGAGGCGUGAAAGCCCGGGGCUUAACCCCGGGAAUUGCACCUCAAACUACACGGCUAGAGCAUUGGAGAGGGUAGCAGAAUUCAUGGUGUAGCAGUGAAAUGCGUAGAUAUCAUGAGGAAUACCAGAGGCGAAGGCGGCUACCUGGACAAUUGCUGACGCUCAGGCACGAAAGCGUGGGGAGCAAAAGGG